rnacentral:rRNA from 1 species
GUGCAGCAGGCGCGAAAACUUCACACUGUGCGAAAGCACGAUGAGGGAAUCCCAAGUGCUUGCACGUAAGUGUAAGCUGUUUCUCUGUUUAAAACGCAGAGAGAGUAAGGGCUGGGUAAGACGGGUGCCAGCCGCCGCGGUAAUACCUGCAGCUCAAGUGGUGACCGUUAUUAUUGGGCCUAAAACGUCCGUAGCCGGUUUAAUAAAUGCCUGGGUAAAUCGUGUAGCUUAACUAUACGAAUUCCGGGUAGACUGUUAAACUCGAGACCGGGAGAAGUUAGAGGUACUCCUGGGGUAGAGGUGAAAUUCUGUAAUCCUAGGGGGACCACCAGUGGCGAAGGCGUCUAACUAGAACGGGUCUGACGGUGAGGGACGAAGCCCUGGGGCGCAAAACGGGGAUUAGAUACCCGGGUAGU